GGUUUUGAACUUGUGGGAAUAGAAUAAAUGCCCCUCCUUCUCGCGGGUUUUAAGAAUUUUAAGAAUACCCUUAUUCAUCAGUAAUUAUAUACCCUCCAUGAUCCAAAAGAAAUUUUUAAUUUUCAGAAUCCCUUAAUUAACCUUCUGUAUCUUAAUACUCUACUUUGUUUCUUCUUCUCGUAAAAACGAAAACUAAUCAAAUCCCAUCACCCCCAUCUUCAUUGUCGCUACCUCCACUGUAGCACCACCUUCACUGAUCCCACUACCAGUUCAGUACCACCUCCACCAAAUCUACCACCAGCGGCACCACCACCUUUUAAACAAUCGAUUUAGAUCGAUUUUCAACUUCAAAACUUAAAUCCAAUGAUGAAUCAACAAAAAACGAAAUCCUAAAACCUAUCUCGAGUAUCAAAAUUAUUAAAUUCAUCUCUAUAUCAACUGGAUUUGGCUUGAAGAAACUAAAAUCGAUGAUAACUAUGUUAGAUCGUAAUUGUUUGCAUCGAUUGGGAAGCGUGAUUAAUAAUAGAAUUUUCAAUGAAUUAAAAUUUAUUAUCAUGUUUGUCUUAUGUAAGUUUCUGGUGCUGGUGGUGGUAAUAGAGCUGGAAAGAAGCUAAAACGUUAAGAUUGAUAAUGGAAAUUGUGGUGAUUUUUGUUGGAAUAUGGUGAAAUUGGAAAUGGACAGGUUGGAAUGUUGGUUGCAGUGAGGUCAAAGUAAUGAAAAAUUGGUGAUGGGGAUAGUGGUGAAUCCGGUUGUUAUGGUGGCUGCGGUGGAGAUUGGGUGUGACUAUUGGUGGUGGUGGUGGUAAGGUUGGAAUGAUAGAUUCGUGUAUUACUACUCCGUCGACUGUUGAAGUUACUGAAUCGGAUUUGGAAUUAAAACAGUUUGUGAUGUCUGCAUGUCAGUUUCCUGGCAAGAAAAUCACAGGCAGGGAAGGGAAUGGAAAACAAUGAAGAUUCAGCUGUAGAUUUUGAUGUAGUUUUGUGGUUACUGGUGCGCAAAUUUUAUACUCCAAGCAUGCCAGAACUAAAAGUUCAGUUAAAUAGAGCAAGCCGGCUUGUAUUGAAGGAAGACGACAUCGUUAGUAUUUUAGAGAGUGAGGAUGUCAAGAUCUUAAGCCCAUGAGAGAUCGUCUGUUAAUUAAGGAUUCCAAGGGGAACCAAUUUUGAUACAUUGGGUUUGGAUGGUACCACUUUCACUGGGAACGAUUUAUUAUGUGGUUUCCCCACGGAGAAAACUUGCAAAGGUGAUGAUAAUAAUAGUACAAGUGUUGCUAAUCCUUCAAAUAAAGUUGAGGAAGAUGACCAGGAUGAUGUUAAAGAAAAGGUUUUGUAUGCUCCUGUUGGCUUGGGAUUUGUAGUUGGAUUUUGGGGUUUGUUUCUCAUUUUGCUUCUGGAAAAGGAGAAAUUGUGGUUUCCAUAUGAGAGAUUUGUUGAUUAUGUUGUCAUUAGAAUUACAAAUUAUGUUCAAAACAAGAGACGAUAACAAGUAUUUAUUAU